AUAUAUGGAUAUAUAUGGGUGGUGAUGAUAUUUAGCAUCAUCCGGAAAGUCAAGCAUCUAUAUUUGGUCUACGACAAUUUGCCUACUGGUCAUCAAAGAUGCUGGAAUUUUUUCAAAACGCCAACUACACGUGCAAGCUUACUUUGAAGAUGUUCUGUGUGACUAUCCCAUAGCAUGAAUUCAUUAAAGUAGACUCCAAGCAUUCUGUGUUAGUAAUUUCUAUGGCAUUCCCUCCUAAGCUUGCAGAUAUUGAACAGCUGAUGGUGCGACAAGAAUCCCAGUAUCUUCCUUGCUGUACAUUUUGAAACAAUUCUUGAACAUACAAUUUCCGUCGUGAAGUGGUACAUCC